rnacentral:rRNA from 1 species
AUUGAACGCUGGCGGCAUGCCUUACACAUGCAAGUCGAACGGCAGCACGGGUGCUUGCACCUGGUGGCGAGUGGCGAACGGGUGAGUAAUACAUCGGAACGUACCUUAUCGUGGGGGAUAACGCAGCGAAAGCUGUGCUAAUACCGCAUACGCCCUGAGGGGGAAAGCGGGGGAUCGAAAGACCUCGCGCGAUUAGAGCGGCCGAUGCCUGAUUAGCUUGUUGGUGGGGUAAAAGCCCACCAAGGCGACGAUCAGUAGCUCUCUGAGAGGACGAUCAGCCACACUGGGACUGAGACACGGCCCAGACUCCUACGGGAGGCAGCAGUGGGGAAUUUUGGACAAUGGGGGGAACCCUGAUCCAGCAAUGCCGCGUGAGUGAAGAAGGCCUUCGGGUUGUAAAGCUCUUCUGUCAGGGAAGAAACACCGGCUCUAACACAGUCCGGGAAUGACGGUACCUGAAGAAUAAGCACCGGCUAACUACGUGCCAGCCGCCGCGGUAA